GUGCAGUGACCUUUUACAGACGUGGAAACUGAAGCCCAGAGGUCUGAAGUAACUCCUCCAAGUUCACGGUAGAAUCCAGAUUUUCUGGCUCCACAGCUUGUGCCGGUGAUCGGAGCAGGUUUUGAGAGGACUCGCUCAAGGUCGCUCGGCCGCCACGUGGCAGAGCCAGGUGCAGGGUCCCAGUCUGCAGACGUCCACGCGGCUGCUGUUCCUUCAGAUGACGCUGCGUCCAGGUGUCUCUUUGGAAGUGAUCGCGUCUUCCCAGUCAUCACCGCCAAGCGGAGUUUGGCAUCAGCCAUUGGACGUGCUCACUUCACUGCCCGUCUAUCUGCUGACGUUUCAUUAGGGAGCCAUGUGCCUUUGCCAAGGAUGAAUGAGUUCAUUAGCUCUGAGACUAAUAAACUUUAAAAAG